rnacentral:rRNA from 1 species
CUGGUGCCAGCAGCCGCGGUAAUUCCAGCUCCAAUAGCGUAUAUUAAAGUUGUUGCAGUUAAAAAGCUCGUAGUUGAAUUUCGGGAUUGGCGCAUCGGUCGUGCCUUACGGGGUAUGAACUGGUGCAGUCAAUUUCUCACCUUCUGGAGAACCGCGAUGUCCUUAAUUGGGUGCCGCGGGGAACCAGGACCUUUACUUUGAAAAAAUUAGAGUGUUUAAAGCAAGCAAACGCUUGAAUACAUUAGCAUGGAAUAAUGAAAUAGGACGUUCGAUCCUAUUUUGUUGGUUUCUAGGGAUUGAUGUAAUGAUUAAUAGGGAUAGUUGGGGGCAUUAGUAUUCAAUUGUCAGAGGUGAAAUUCUUGGAUUUAUUGAAGACUAACUACUGCGAAAGCAUUUGCCAAGGAUGUUUUCAUUAAUCAGUGAACGAAAGUUGGGGGAUCGAAGACGAUCAGAUACCGUCGUAGUCUCAACCGUAAACUAUGCCGACUAGGGAUCGGGCGACGUUCCAAUUAUGACUCGCCCGGCACCUUACG